AGGGUGCAGGCAGGCUGACCAUCCCAUCGUUUCGCCUGGAACUGUCCCAGUAUUAGCAAUGACAGUCUUAUGUCCCCAGGGCAAACCAGGGUGGCUGGUCACUGAAGUUCAAGUCUCUCUAGAAAUUGCCACAUCUAAUUAGCAAGUUGGCCCCCCCACCGCUAGAAGUCUCUCAAGAGGAAAUCGGUGGCGUGGUCAUGCACAGCUCCUGUGCUCCGGACAGAGACUGUCGUGGAUCCAGGGCCAUCUAGACAUCUAGGUGACAAAGCUGAGGCUCUGUUGGGAGUGGCAGUCUGCCCGUCAUCCCUGGCAGUGGGUCACCAUGGAGCCUGGCUCUGGGACCUGAAAUUGGACCUGGGUUAUGCAGCUGGCCCGUGCGGGUGCUGGCCUUGCCUCUCUGGGCCUCCAAAUCCUGAGCUACACAAUGAGGACGAGGCCGGCUCUGCACUGAGAGCAAAGCCGAUGGCAGAGGCCACGUGCCGCAGGCCU